rnacentral:siRNA from 1 species
ACCGCUAUCGCCCGCAACCGCAA